GCGAGAGUGGCGGAAUUGGCAGACGCGCUGGACUUAGGAUCCAGUGGGUAAAACCGUGGGGGUUCGAGUCCCUUCUCUCGCACCA
rnacentral:tRNA from 1 species